rnacentral:lncRNA from 1 species
GAUUGCAUUGGGAGUGGCUCGAGGUAUUGAAUAUUUACAUAGAGGUUGUGAAAUGCAAAUUUUACAUUUUGAUAUCAAGCCACAUAACAUUCUUCUAGAUGAGAACUUUACUCCAAAAGUUUCAGAUUUUGGCCUCGCAAAGUUGUAUUCAGUGGAUGAUGAUAUUGUUUCUCUCACAGCAGCACGAGGUACGCUAGGAUAUAUGGCUCCUGAAUUAUUUUAUAAAAAUAUUGGAGGCAUCUCAUAUAAAGCUGAUGUUUAUAGUUUUGGAAUGAUGUUAAUGGAAAUUGUUGGAAGGAGAAAAAAUUUGAAUGCCUCUGCUGAAUAUUCAAGUCAAAUUUAUUUUCCAUCAUGGAUUUAUGAUCGGUUUGAAGAAGGAGACAUCAUUGAGCUUGGAGAUGUGACGGAAAAUGAAAACAAAAUUAUGAGGAAAAUGGUAAUAGUAGCCUUUUGGUGCACACAGAUGAGGCCCACAGAUCGUCCUUCAAUGAGCAAAGCCUUGGAGAUGCUUGAAAGUGAAGUUGAGCUCCUUGAAAUGCCUCCCAAGCCUUCUUUCUCUGGAAAUGUCAACUAAAGAUAGUAAGAAUUCAAUAAACAUAAUAAAUCACAUCAUUUAUUACAAAAAUAUUAAGAAAUAUUUAAUAUAUAUUUUGUGCUAAGCAAUGUUUCACUACUUUAUUAUAGUACUUUUAUAAUUUUUGCAGUCUUGCUUAUCAUCUUAAUUCUUAUAUAUAGAAUCUGAAAUAUAUAGAAUCUUGAGUUGAUUGAUGCUGGCCUGUGUUCUCUUUUUCUGGUGGUUGAAAAUAUUUUCAAGUCAUAUUUUUCUCUUGUGCUUGUUGCGGUUUGGUUUUGUUUUUUUUUUUUCUGAUUUGUGUUUUGGUUUGGCUUUUUGCAUCAGUGGUUGUGAUUUCUGAUCUUUGUCUGUGUCUCCUAAUGCGUUUUCAAGGUGUUCUGAGGGGUUGAGUUGCGAUUUAUUCCAGGGUUAGAAUGGUUGAUGUGCUUUUGUUGAAGCCAUGAUUCCCCCUUGAUUGACUUUCUUCUGAGGCUCUUCCUUUGAAUGAUUUUGUCUCUCCUCUGUUGCUUUGAUCGUCAUGUGUUUCUCGGUUUGGCUUGUGAUGUUGAUUUUUGAGUUGUUGAUUUCCUGUGUCGUGGCGAUCUUGGUUUGUUUUAUGUUCAAAUCUUGCAUGGGGUUUUUGUGUUUUGAUUGGACCUUGGCCUUUUUUUUUGGGAGGUUUGUAUUUGCUAGUGAUUAUCUCCAUCCUUCUUUAGUGGAGACUUUUCACAGCUUUUUUGUACUCCUUUCGUAUUAACUCAAUGUGCUUUGCGUUUCAAAAGAAAAAAAAAAGGAUAGAAACCUUAAGCUUGAGGCAUAACCUUCUCUCUUAAUAUGCUCAAAAAAUCUUAAAACAAGCAAUAUGUUGUAAAAUAUAACUUUAAAAGAAAAUAUUAGAGAGAAGUAGUAAGAAUGUAAGAAAAUGUUUUAUUUCAUUUCUUGUUUUAGUGCAUCUAUCAACCAUCAACUACAAUGCCUUUAUUUAUAGGCACACAUAGAUGGAGAGGAAAUGAAUUUACAUAAAUAGAAAGGAUGAACUUAAUAGAUAAAAAUGUACAUACACUGAAUGAAACCAGGAGAUAAAAAUGUAAUGACAUAAAUAUGUACAUUGGAUAUGGGGAGAUACAUUAGAUAUUAUAAAGUACAAUAGAUAUUCACAUAUAUUUAUAACACUUUCCCUUAAAUGUUCAUUGUACUACCUCAUUAAAAACCUUAAGCCGGAAAAAUCUAGUAGGACAAAAACUAAUCAGAAGGAAAAAAGAGUAUAGUGGAUGGUCCAUAUUUGCUCCCUUUCAAUUGAGCCAUAUUGCCACUUCUGGGGUCUAUCCCUUUAAUGUCCAUUAUAUUGUCUCAUUAAAAACCUUAAGUCAAAAAAAUACUAUGGCACAAAAAUACAGUGCACCCCCUCAAUUGAUCCAUAUUGCCACUCUAGUGGCAAAUUAAUCUUGCAUCUUGUUAACUUCUCCAUUCCAAUGUCAUUUACUAAUUUCUCAAAUGUUGAUGUUGGUAAUGAUUUAGUAAAAAGAUCUGUAAGAUUAUUGGUGGAGCGAAUUUGUUUAAUGUCAACUUGUCGACUUUCCCAGAAUUCAUGAGUGUAGAAAAAUUUUGACAAGAUAUGCUUGAUCCUAUCACCUUUAAUAUAUCCUCCCCUAACUUGUGCAAUGCAAACAACAUUAUCUUUAUAAAGUAUAGUCAGAGAAUUCGUAAGUGGUGUUAAACAACAAGAAUUAUGAAUAUGCAUUAUAACAAAUCUCAACCAAACACACUCUCUUCUAACUUCAUAUAAGGCGAUAAUCUCAAAGUGGUUGGAGGAUGUAGCUAUUAGCAUUUGUUUAGUAGAGUGCCAAAAAAUGGCAGUGUCGUUAUAGCAAAAUAAAUAACUAGUUUUGAAAGCAAGGCUUUUACAGAUUAGAUUUACAUCCUGCAUCAGCAAAUCCAACUAAGCCAAAGUUAGUGGAAUCCUUGGAAUAAUAUAAUCUCAAAUCUAUAGUUCUUCUGAGAUAACAAAAAAUGUGUCAUGACCCGGAACUCCCAUCGAGCCCGUGACAACCGCCGCGACGUCCCGAUAGACAUUCAUUACUCGAAAUGUCAAUCGAAACCUCGCAAGGCUUAACAUCAGUUUUUCUCACUUCCCCCAUGAGUAUUAGUUACUAAAAUCAUGUUUUGAGAGAUUAUAAACUAUUUCCAAUUCAAAACAAUAGAAAAAUAAUUUUUUCCUCACAGGGGUAUUUUGAUCAUUUUUCCUCAAAAAUCUCGAAAUCCACUAAAAUGUAGUAAGCAAGUACAAAACACAUAAUUCAUAAUCAAAAAUGAGUUUUAAAGUCUAAAAUCUUCAUUUAAAACGAAAUUUUGAUUAUUUGGAUAUAAUAAGAAAAUAAAAGAAAUAUUAAGUAAAAUAUUCUAUUUUCUUAUAAAAUAAUAUUUAUAGAGUUAUACGUAAAUAAUUUUUGUAGCGUAAAAGCUAAAUAAAUUCAUACAUACUGUAAUACAGUAAGUCAGAGUAUUUAAUUUAAUUUGCAAUAACAAGUGGGCCCCCGAAUAACCAAAAGUAAAGAGGACAAUUGUCACGACCCGGAACUCCCAUCGGGCCUGUGACAACCGUCGCGACAUCCCGAUAGGCACUCAUUACCCCGAAUGUCGAUUGGAACCCUACAAGGCUUAGCAUCAGCUUUCGCAUCUCCCCGGUGAGCGACAGUUAUUAAAUCUUGCAUUUCAAGAAAUCAUAAGUCGUUUCCAAAUCAAAACAAUAAAAUAUUAUUUUCUGGCUCACAGGGGCAUUUUCGUUAUUUUUUUUUGAAAAUACCGAAACCCACCAAAAACAUGGUGUAAAAGCUAAAUAUGUUCAUACAUAUUUUAAAUCAAAUAACUAAAAUACAAAUUUACUUUUACAAUGACACGUGGGCCCCUAACUAACCAAUAAGAUGCGAGUCUGUGAACCUAUAAUUUUGACAAUGCAAGGCUAAUUGAAGUCCUUGAUGCAAUUGGCUAUCUACCGGCUAUCUCGAAUCUGAAAUGUGGGGAAUUGAGGGUGGUGAGAUUAUAAAAUCCCAGUGAGUAAACAGACACCAUCUAAACUAUCUAAAGGUGAGUAAAUGGAGAUAAUUAAAAAAUAAUUAACUUCGGUAAAUUUUUUACAUCACGAAUAUUCAUUUCAACCAAAUAAUCAAUAUGGCUCGUGAAUUACUCAAAACUUGGCUCAUGCCAAAUCCUGUACUCGGUGACACUUGGACUAGGGGUAUCCAACCGAGUCCGCCAAGGCUGUUAAAAAUUCAUAUUUCGCAUAAAUCAUAUUUUUAUUUCGAAACAUAGCCGUUCCUUGGCAUUGGCUGAGUCUCACUCUCACGCGGUGGUCCACAUUAAGUGCACUCAAAAAGCCCACCUCAAGAGAUACCCUACGCGCCUCUACGACCGAGGUGAGAAUAUAAAAGAGUUUACCGUGCCCCUCUAAUANNNNNNNNNNNNNNNNNNNNNNNNNNNNNNNNNNNNNNNNNNNNNNNNNNNNNNNNNNNNNNNNNNNNNNNNNNNNNNNNNNNNNNNNNNNNNNNNNNNNNNNNNNNNNNNNNNNNNNNNNNNNNNNNNNNNNNNNNNNNNNNNNNNNNNNNNNNNNNNNNNNNNNNNNNNNNNNNNNNNNNNNNNNNNNNNNNNNNNNNNNNNNNNNNNNNNNNNNNNNNNNNNNNNNNNNNNNNNNNNNNNNNNNNNNNNNNNNNNNNNNNNNNNNNNNNNNNNNNNNNNNNNNNNNNNNNNNNNNNNNNNNNNNNNNNNNNNNNNNNNNNNNNNNNNNNNNNNNNNNNNNNNNNNNNNNNNNNNNNNNNNNNNNNNNNNNNNNNNNNNNNNNNNNNNNNNNNNNNNNNNNNNNNNNNNNNNNNNNNNNNNNNNNNNNNNNNNNNNNNNNNNNNNNNNNNNNNNNNNNNNNNNNNNNNNNNNNNNNNNNNNNNNNNNNNNNNNNNNNNNNNNNNNNNNNNNNNNNNNNNNNNNNNNNNNNNNNNNNNNNNNNNNNNNNNNNNNNNNNNNNNNNNNNNNNNNNNNNNNNNNNNNNNNNNNNNNNNNNNNNNNNNNNNNNNNNNNNNNNNNNNNNNNNNNNNNNNNNNNNNNNNNNNNNNNNNNNNNNNNNNNNNNNNNNNNNNNNNNNNNNNNNNNNNNNNNNNNNNNNNNNNNNNNNNNNNNNNNNNNNNNNNNNNNNNNNNNNNNNNNNNNNNNNNNNNNNNNNNNNNNNNNNNNNNNNNNNNNNNNNNNNNNNNNNNNNNNNNNNNNNNNNNNNNNNNNNNNNNNNNNNNNNNNNNNNNNNNNNNNNNNNNNNNNNNNNNNNNNNNNNNNNNNNNNNNNNNNNNNNNNNNNNNNNNNNNNNNNNNNNNNNNNNNNNNNNNNNNNNNNNNNNNNNNNNNNNNNNNNNNNNNNNNNNNNNNNNNNNNNNNNNNNNNNNNNNNNNNNNNNNNNNNNNNNNNNNNNNNNNNNNNNNNNNNNNNNNNNNNNNNNNNNNNNNNNNNNNNNNNNNNNNNNNNNNNNNNNNNNNNNNNNNNNNNNNNNNNNNNNNNNNNNNNNNNNNNNNNNNNNNNNNNNNNNNNNNNNNNNNNNNNNNNNNNNNNNNNNNNNNNNNNNNNNNNNNNNNNNNNNNNNNNNNNNNNNNNNNNNNNNNNNNNNNNNNNNNNNNNNNNNNNNNNNNNNNNNNNNNNNNNNNNNNNNNNNNNNNNNNNNNNNNNNNNNNNNNNNNNNNNNNNNNNNNNNNNNNNNNNNNNNNNNNNNNNNUUUUUUUGUUUUAUUAAUUCCUUAAAUUCUAGCCAUCCAUUUAUUUCCAAAUUUUCACCAUACACUUGUCCCACAUAUCCAUAGCUUAGAUAAAAUUCUCAGACUUAUCCAAAGUCUUGGUGGAGUAAUUUUUUGAAAUUACACUUUUAUCCCCGUAAAAGUCAAAAAUUACAUUUUUGCCCCAAAAACUGAAAAAUUUCCCAUAGACAUAUUUUUCAUCCCUAAUACUCAUACCAUUCUCCAAUUUGUCAAAUGUGAUCUAAAUUCUCUCAAAAUCUCAAAUUUUGUUCGCAUAUGGAAAAAUUACGAUUUUGCCCCUACACUUCAGAAAUCACCGAAAUUAAACUUUUUCAUUGCCAAACUCUCAAAUUAAACUCUAAUAAGUUUAAUAUAAUCAAUCUUAAUCAAAUGGGAUUAAAAAUUUCCAUAUUCGUCCUCAAGUGGCAAAUUACCAUUUUACCCCUAAAAUACUUAAAGUUUGGAUUAACUCCAUAUCGGACCUCGAACUCUGAAUCCUCAUUUUAAAUCAACCCAUAGGUUUUAGUUCUCUCAAAUUCAUCCUCGAUUCUCUGUUUAAACUAGUUCAAGACUUAUUUGACUGAACCGUACCAUCAGGGGCAAUAUCGUCUUUUAAUGAUUCCUCGAACUUCCUAAACAUACAAACAUUCUAUUGAGUAUGUAAAUGACGUCGUAAUUAUUUUAUAGAAUCGGGUUUGACAACAGUGAACCUACAGUUUGAAGGAAUGCAAAUCCAAGGGUAGUCCUCGAUGAACUCAGCUAUCUACAGCCUAAUCUGAACCUGAAAUGGGUGAAAAAGAGAAUGGUGAGAUUUUAUAAUACCAGUGAGUAAAUAAACAUCAUUCAAAAGAUCUAAAGUCGAGUAAAAGGAGACAAUUAAAAUAUUUCAUCUCAAUAUGUAUUUCAUAACAUAAAUAUUCAUUUCAUUUAAAUAUUUAACAUGGCUUAUGAGUAUCUUAAAAGCUUGGCUCCUGCCAAAAUCAUUCUCGGGGAUACCUUGGCCGAGGCAUCUAACCGAGUCUGCCAAGGCUGUUAAAAAGUUCGUAUACACGUAAACAUAUUUUUAGUUUGAAAAACAUAGUCAUUCUUUGGCGUUAGCGGAGUUCAUCAUCACGAGGUGGUUCGACGUGACGUGAACUCUAUCCAUACCUCAAGAGAUACCUUACGCACCUCUCUGACCAAGGUACAUAUAUAUAUAUAUAUAUCUGGAUUCCGUGCCCCUCUAAUGGGCUGGUCCACAGAAUCUGCCUACUGUAGCAAGCUAAACCCACCAUACAAUAAAAUUUUGACAACAUGACAUGGCUAAUAUUUUACUAUCCAGCAUACAAGGGUAAAAUAAAACAAUUUAUAUAAUUCAUAAAACACAACCCAGCCAAUCAUGCCAACACAAUAACAAUAUAACAUAAGCCAUCAAUUUCCAAUCAUAAAUUUACAACAUACCGGUGGUCUCCAAUUACUCUAUUUUCAAAAUCGUUAUUUCGUUUCAAGACAAUUUAUAAAAUCUUUUCAUUUAAACAUAUUUUUGUUCAUUAAACCUAAAAUUAGCCAUUUAACUCAUUUUUCAUAAAAUUUCACCAAAAUCGAAUUAAAACAUACUUUAGAUAAUUAAAAUGAUAAUAAGGUUACUUACUAUUUCAAGAGUAGAAUUUCUAAAGUACUUUGACUACCGAUCCUCGAGUACAAUUUUUUUGCCUUUAUCGGAGGAUUCACCACCUAGACAUAGUACAAAAUCGAGAAACUUACUACAUUGGUACUAAAUCGAAAUUAAACUAAUUUAGACUACUAAUACAUGAUAUGGAAUGCAAAAAUGUCCGAAUAGCCGUUUAAAUACGGUAUUCGACCUAAUUCGCACUAUUCUCGUUGUAAUUGGCUAAAACCUCUAAUUUAACUCCAAAUCGAUUUCUUUCACUUUCUACACUCCAAUUAUACUUAAAAUACCUCAAUGAUUGUGAAUGUAAUUCAAUUUAUCUGUCCGAACCAUAAAUCUCACAUGUUUAUACAUUAGGUAAAAAUUCAAAUUUUCAUGCCAAAAUUUCUCAUUAAAUUUCUAGCCUCACCAAUCAUUAAAUACCGUCAAAAUAUCAUGAAAUAUCAUCAAUUUCAGCCUCAAUAUCCUCCCUAGAAAAUUCGGCCUCUUAUGGGUUUGUGAAGAACAAAGUGAUUUCUUACUAGAUUUUCAUACUUUCCAUUACUAAACAACCAAAAACACUUAAUUAACUUGAAAUCUAGCAAAAUUAAUGCUCAAAACCUCUCCUCUCAAAUUCGGCCAGCAUGGGUUCAUCAUGAAAACUUGAGUUCUAAGCAUGGAAAAUGAAAAAAAAAGCAUGGGUAGUGUAAAUCACAAGAUAAAAUCACAAAAUUUUACCUUUAUUAACUUAAUCCCUUAAAAUCCCACACUUUUUCUUCAAUUUUCCCACCUAGGUUUUGUUCUUUCUUUGUUCUUCUUCACUUCAUACUUUGGCCAGCCAUAAUGAAGAAAAUAGGCUGAUUUUUGCUGAUUUUAAAGCUAAAAAAAUAAAUGGAUAUAAACUUGACACAUGUCACCAUCCCAUUGGUCCAUUUUUUUAAACUUAACAAUUAAGCAAUCUCUCUCCACCACUUAAAUUUUCUUCAAUUAUCCAUGAUAAUAUUGGAUAAAAUCCAUAUGCUGGACAAGUGUCGGGUGUGUAAAACUACAAUUUUGCCCCUGAGGUGGCAAAAUUAUCAUUUUACCCCUAUGCUUCGAAAAAUACCGAGAUUACAAUUUUUUUCACUUCUCAACCUCAAAUCAUGCUUCAAUACUCAAAUCAUACUCUAAUAAGUCAAAUGGGGCCAAAAAGAUCUUUUCUAAAAAUUUUCAUUUUGUCACCAGGUGGCAAAUGACCAUUUUGCCCCUGGAUAGUGAAAAUUUCGAUUUGACUCCAAAUUGAUCCUUAAACUCCGAAUUACCAUCUUGAGUCAUCCAUGGACUGUGAAGCUCUUAAUUUCACCUUAAAAUUUCUAUUUGAUCUAGUUCAAGGCUUAAAUCAACUUUGUUGUACCUCUAGGUACAAUACUUACUUUUGUAAAUUUUUCAGGACUCUCCUAGCAUGCAAUCAUGCUAUCAUCACAUGUAUGUCAUGACAAGUAUUUUAUAAGGUUAAGCUUUACAAAAUAUGUUUUAUUCCAUUUCAAUGUCUCCAAGUUGGCUCAAAACAAAAACGUGCCAGCAAAUUUUCUACAAAAACGAUAUUGAGUCUCGUACAUUGUGCCAAGUACACCAAAGUCCCAAUUACAUUGAGAUAUGGUACUUUAGGAGCUAGUAUAUCCUCAUUAGGUUCUCUAGGAUGAAACGAAUCCUUUUGGGGAUUAAAAAACCUUAUAACCAUAAGGGUCUCGAAGGAUGAACCUCAUCCAUGUUAAAACGUUUAAGCAACCUCUCAAUAUAUGCUGACCGAUGGACAAGUAUUCCAUUUGCUUUGUGCUCAAGUUCUAAACUAAGACAAAGUCUGGUUUUACGAAAACUUUUAACUUCAAACUCCCUUUUCAAAUAUUCAACAGUUUUAGAUAACUCUUCUAAGUUCUAAUCAAAUUCAUAUCAUCGACAUAAACUUCUAUCAUAGCAAAUCCGAUUUUUGAUUUCUUAAUAAACACGCAUGGGUAGAUAGGAUCAUUUUUGUACCCUUCCUUAAUUAAGUACUUGCUUAAACGUUGAUGCCACAUGUGACAGGAUUGUUUUAACCCGUACAAAGAUUUUUGCAACUUUGUUGACAAUAAGUUACAAGGAGUGUAUGCUUCAGGCAUUUUGAAUCUCUCGAGAAUUUUCAUAUAAAUAUCGAAGUCUAAUGAACCAUAUAGAUAUGUCGUCACAAUGUCCAUAAGACGCAUUUCUAGUUUCUUAGAAACUACUAAGCUAAUAAGGAAAUGAAAGAUAAUCAUAUCCAUCACAGGUGAAUAUGUCUUAUCAUAAUCAAUCCCAUGUCUUUGAGAGAAACCUUGGGCAACAAGUCGGGCUUUAUACCUCACGACCUUAUUUUUCUCAUUUCGUCUCCUAACAAAUACCUACUUGUAUCCAAUGAGCUUUACAUUGUUAGGGGUUCAAGAUAUAGGCCCGAAAACUUCUCGUUUAGCUAAGGAAGCUAAUUCAGCAUAGAUUGCUUCCUCCCAUUUGGGCCAAUCUUGCCUUUGAUGAUAUUCGAUAAUAGAUCAUAGUUCAUAAUCAUUGUUUAUAAUCUCAUGAGCAACUAAGAGUGGAAAAACAUUAUCGAUGAUUAUCUUAUUCAGAUCCCAAAUCUCAUUACAAUAUGUAAUGAAAAUCUCAGUAUUUUUAGGGUCGACGGUCUUUUCAUGGGUUUGUGCCUCUUUAUGGGCAAUAAGUUCUCCUGGAGUAAGCUCAACACCAGGCUCUUCUGGAGUGGAUUCGUGAAUCUUCCCCUUUUAUUUUUGAGGGACAAUGUUUUUUUAUCCUAUUUGUCUUUCACACUUCAAAUGUGAGCCAUUUUGAUCUAUUUCAGCCUAUUCUUCAAGAAUAGUAAUCCUAGUUGGAACAUUCAUAGUUGGAAUAUGAGGCUUUGUAAUCUCGGCAGCAUCAUUAAAUGCGUCAGAAAGUCUAUUGGCAAUAGCUUGCAAAUGGAUUAUACGCUACACCUCAUUUUCACAUUUAAGAGUUCUUGGGUCUAAAUGGGAUAGAUUUUUCUCAUUCCAAGAGAAAAUCUCAACUAGUUGUUGUUUCCCAGCCAUGGAAGCCUUAGGUAUUCCAAUUAGUAGAAACAUUGUUUCAUCGAAAUGACAAUCUGCAAAUCUGAAGGUAAAAAGAUCACCCAUUGUUGGUUUUAAGAACCUAAUAAUAAAUGGUGAAUCAAACCCAACGUAAAUGCCCAAAUGGUGUUGGGGAACAAUUUUUGUCCUUUUUGGCGGUGUUACAAGCACCUACAUAGCUCAACCAAAGGUGCGUAAAUGUGAAAUGUCUGGCUCAUAGCCUAGAACCACCUGCAUGAGAGAUUGCAAGAGACUAGCAGUGGGGUGCAUCUAAUUAGUGCCAUCACAUGCAAAAUAGCAUGACCCCACGUUGAAUAGUUGAGCUUUGUCCUCCAUAAUAAAGUCCGAGCAAUAAUUUGAAUUUAAUCAAGAAUUCUGCCAAUCCAUUCUGAGUAUGAACAUGUGAAAUCAAGUGUUAAACCUUAAUUCUUGGUGAAGCACAAUAUACAUCAAAGCUCUUUGAUGUAAAUUCACCAACAUUAUCCAUCCUUUUGCUUUUGAUUGGAUAAUUAAGGAAAUGUGGACAAAGCUUUAUAAUCUGUGCAAGUAAACAUGCAAAUGCGAUGUUGCAUGUAGAUACCAGGCAAACAUGGAACCAUUUGCAGGAUGUGUCCCUUAAUACCAUGAAAUAUCUGAACAGCCCACUUGCCAAUUGUAUUGGUCCACAAAUAUUAACUUAGAUUCUUUGCAAUAAUGAAAGGGAUUCAAGAUUCACCUUUGUCAUAGAAGGUUUAUUAAUGAGCUUUCCUUGUAAACAACUUUCACAAGUAUAAUCUUUGGACAACAAAAUCUUUUUAUCCUUUAAAAGGUGUCCUUUAGUAUUAUGGAUUAUCCUACGCAUCAUUGUAGUUCUCGGGUGACCUAGGCGAUUAUGCCAAAGUCUAAACUCAUCGAGAUUUACCAGUUUCUAACACACGGUAGCUUAGGAUUUCCUGAUUCGAGUCUACCUCGACCCUAAAGUCCUAUAUCAAUGAUGAGUUACUUUAUUUUGAUAUCACUUAUCAUGCACCUACGUUCCAACCUAAAUGACAUGUCUAUUACCGAUGCAAGUCCUUAUUUAUAAAUAGAAAACUCAUCUCAUCUCUUACUGUGUAGGAUCAUGACACUCACAUUCUAAUUUAAAGUUCAAUUUGCUAUUUAAUGCAACCAACACAAAUACUAUUUCGAUGUGUAUCCAAUAAAUUCCCUAGGUUCGAAUUUUCUUUUGGGACGAAGGUUUGGGUUUUGAAUUGGUCGAAAGGUGGUUAAGAAAGAAGAGAAGGUUUUUUAAGGGAGAUUGGGGCCAUGCACAAAAAUGGUGCCGUUUGAGAAAAAAAAAGAAGAAAAGGAAAAAAAGCACGGACCUAAGCAACCUCGGCCCAAGUUAUAGCCCGAUUUGUGAAUUAAAACCAAAAAGGUUAAAGCCCAACCUAGUUGGAUCUUGGAGGUAUGAUUUGAGUUUAUUUUGUGUUAUUUUGAGCUUAUCAUUUAUUAUUUUAUUAUUUGUAAUGUAUUUAGUCAUUUUUUAUUUUUUUUAAAUGUAAUUUUAAUAAAUAUUUAACAUUAAUAAAAUUAUAAAUAAAUAAAAUAGUUAUUUGAAUUAAUUCCUCACGAUGGAAUUUUAUUUGAAUUAUGUAUCAAUAUUUUUUAAAUUGAUUUUCCUAGGGUGAGGAAUAAUUUGAGACUCCAUCAAAGUGUUGGAAGAGCUUAUUAAAAUUUAUUCCAACAUCCAAGUUACUUCACAUAAUCAUCAAAUAAAGAAAUAUUUGUAUUUUCUUUCUGCUACCUGGCUUGUUUUGUUUCUACUAUUUCUCUACUUCCCUAUAUGCUACCUCAAAUGAAAUAAAAUGUUUCCUCGCCUUUCAAAAAAAAUGUAGAAAAAAUGUUAAUUUUAUUUUUCUCUUAUUUUAUACAAAGAAAAUGUAUUAUAUUUUAUAUAUGUAUAUAAGUAUGUAUGUAUUUAAUUAUAUAUGUACAUAUCUAUAGUAUUAGCUGUUCAAACUUUGUUUGUGCAAUUUUUUUUUCAUACGUAAGUAACAACUUAGAAAAGUACAGUCUUUGCCAUUAUAUAUAUAUAUAUAUAUAUAUAUAUAUAUAUAUAUAUAUAUAUAUGCAUGUAAAUCUCUCUUUAUUUGUAAUUUUUUUUGUCCAAAAUGUUCUAUCCUAAUUACAAUAUUUUUAAUAACACAUUUAAAAAUUAAAUGCAAAUUUUAUUGGAGAGUGUUUUUUACUUUGGCUUUAGACUCCAGCUAAUUAAAUUUUCAAAGGAAGAUUUGCUUUCAUUUGCAACCAGAGAAUAAUUAGCGGACAACCAAGAUAAGAUUAUCCUAGUUCUUAUUUAACCUUUCUUUUUGAACUUUUUUAUACAUAUCCAAAAAAAUAUAAAUUACGGAACUGAUUAAUCCAUUUAGAAUUAUUAUUUUGUUUUUCAAUAAGUCGAUGGUGGAAUUUAAGACUACACAAAUGAAUUUAUAGGAUUGUUUAAGUGAUUUUAUUUAUAUUUUAUUGAGGGUUUAUUUUAAUCUUCCUACUGUGACUAUGUAGAUGAACUUAGAUAGAUUACAAAGAUUCCUUUUCUGUUAGUUUCGUUACGUGUAAAAUCAGCUCAGAGCUAUGAUUGGCUUGUGUUGAAGUAAUUGGCUUUAAUUAAUUAGUUGACUUGACUGACUUUUCAAACGAAGACAAGUGGGGAGAAAAACUGCCCCAUUAAAAGUUGACUGAAACAUGUGCAAUUUUGCUAAUAUCUGCAUGUGAUUUUUUUGUCCAAAAUAUUACCAAAAAAAAUUUUAUAGAACAGUGAUGAAAUGCCCCAUACUUUGAUAUGGUGAUAAAUAAAGUUGAUCGGAUGCGAAUUGAGACAUAAUAAGGUAUUUUGGGAACUAAAGAGACAAGAUAAAAUUUUUGGAAUAAAAUAAUAGUAAAAUAUUAACAUUUAACCGGAUGUCGAAAUCAGUCAUGAAGAAGGAUCAUAUGGUUAAUCCGAGUAGGGGAUAAGAUGUCAAGUCUGACUCUAUAAAAUACUUGUCAUGACAUACAUGUGAUGGAUAACAUGUUUACAUGCUAGAAGAGUCCCGAAAAAUUUACAAAAGUCGAUAUUGUACCUAGAGGUACAACAAAGUUUAUUUAAGUCUCGAACUACAUCAAAUAGAGAUUUUAGGGUGAAAUUAAGAGUUUCACAGUCCAAGGAUGACUCAAAAUGGUAAUUCAGAGUUUGAGGAUCAAUUUGGAGUCAAACCAAAAUUUUCACUAUACAGAGGUAAAAUGGUCAUUUGUCACCUGGGGACAAAAUGAAAAUUUUUACAAAAGAUUUUUUUGGCCCCAUUUGACUAAUUGGAGUAUGAUUUGAGGCUUAGAAGUGAAAAAUUUUAAUUUCGGUAAUUUUCGGAGCAUAGGUGUAAAAUGGUAAUUUUGCCACCCCAAGAGCAAAACAGUAUUUUCCACCACCAGAACACUUGUCCAGCAUAUGGAUUUUAUCCAAUUUUAUCAUGGAUAAUUGAAAGAAUUUAUAUGGUGGAGAGAGAAAGCUUAAGAGUUAAGAAAUAAAAAUGGACCAAUGAAAUGGUAACACAUGGCAUAUUUAAAACCAUUAAAUAUUUAACUUUAAAAUUAAUACAAAAUCAGCCCAUUUCUCAUUCAUAUGGCUGGCCAAAGAAGAACAAAGGAGGAAAGGAAAAAAAACAAGAACCCUAGGUGGGAAAAUUCAAGAAAAAGUGCAGGAUUUCAAGGGAUUAAGCUAAUAAAUAUAAAAUUUCUUGAUUUUGACUUGUGAUUUACACUACCCAUGCUUUCUUUUUCAUUUUCCAUAGUUAGAUUUCAUGUUUGCAUGGUGAAUUCAUGGCUGGUUAGAAUGGGUAUGGAGAGAGAAUGAAGUUGGAUUGAUUUGAUUCUAAGUUAUGUUAGUGUUUUUAGUUAGUUUAUCAUGUCCAGAAACAAACCAACAAGAAAAAUUUAUUUUCUCUCAUUACCCAUCAUUGGUCGAAUUUUCUGGGGAGGAUAUUGCGGCUGAAAUUGAUGAUAUUUCAUGAUAUUUUGGUGAUAUUUGAUGUUUGGUGAGGCUAGAAAUUAAAUGGGAAAUUUUGGUGCGAAAAUCUAAAUUUUUGCUCAACGUAUGACAUGUGCGAUUAUCAAUCCGGGACUAAUAAAUUGAAUCUCAUUCACAGUCACUGAGGUAAUUUAGGUAUAUUUGGAGUGUAGAAAGUGAGAAGAAUUGAUUUGGAGUUAAAUUGGAGAUUUUAGCCGAUUAGACCGAGUAUAGUGUGACUUAGGUCGAAUAUCACAUUUAAGCAAUUAAUCGGACAUUUUGCAUUUCAUAUCAUGCAUUAGUAGUCUAAAUUAAUUUAAUUUUGAUUUAGUACCAAUGUAAUAAGUUUCUCGAUUUUGUAUUGUGUCAAGGUGGUGAGUCCUCUGACAAGGGCAAGGAAAUUGUACCCGAGGAUCGAUAAUCGGAGUACUUUAGAAAUUAGACUCCUGAAAUAGUGAGUAACCUUACCAUCAUUUUAAUUAUCUAAAGUAUGUUUUUAAUCGGUUUUGGUGAAAUUUUAUGAAAAUGAGUUUAAAUGGUAAAUCUUUGUGUUUUACAAACAAAAUGUGUUUAAAUGAAAAGAUUUUAUAAAUUGUCUUGAAAUUGAAUAAUGAUUUUGAAAAAUAGAGUAAUUGGAGACCACUUGUUAUGUUGUGAAAUUUAUAAUUUGAAUCGAAUGGCUUAUGACAAUAUUUGCAUGAAUGGNAUAAUGAUUUUGAAAAAUAGAGUAAUUGGAGACCACUUGUUAUGUUGUGAAAUUUAUAAUUUGAAUCUAAUGGCUUAUGACAAUAUUUGCAUGAAUGGAUGAAUUGAUAUUUGUGUUGAAAUAUAUGAAAUGUGCAUUUAGCCUUGGAAGGUUGUGAAUUACAAUAAUUGCCAUAUCAUGUUAUUGAAUUUUAUUGAUUGGUGGAAAAAUUAUUAGCUUACUACAGUAGGCGGGUUUCCGUGGACUAGCCUAUUAGAGGGGCACGGUAAACCCCAUUAUAUUUUACUUCAGUUGGAGAAACGAGUAGGGUAACUCCCGAGGUAUAACUUUUAGAGUUCACUUCACGCCAAACCACCACAUGAGGUGGAACUUGACCAACGCCAAGGAACGGCUAUAUUUUUAAAAUAAAAACAUGUUUAUGUGUACGUAACUUUUUAAUAGCCUUGGCGGACUCGAUUUGGGAUAGCCCUCGGCCAAGGUAUCCUUGAUAAUUGAGUAUGAGAAUAAUUUUUGGCAUGAGCCAAGCUUUUAAGAAAUUCAUAAGCCAUACUGAUUACUUGAUUUAAAUAAAUUGAUUUCAUUUGGUUGAAAUAAGUUGAAAGAUGAUAAAUUACAGUUUGAUGAAAUGUUUUAAUAGUCUCCUUUUACUCGACUUUAGAUAUUUUGAAUGAUGUUUGUUUACUCACUAGGAUUUCAUACUCUCACCACCCUCCUUUCUAUCCAUUUCAGGCUUAGAAUAGAUUGUAGAUAACUGAUUAUCAGCGAUGACUACAAUUGGACUUGCCACAUCCAAAAACUGUAGGUUCAUUUUUUUUAUACUUUUUGUCAUUCGUGGGCCCACACGUCACUAUAAAUUAAAUUUUAUACUUUGGUUAUCUGUAUUACAGUAUAAAUGAAUCUAUUUUGCUUUUACGCUGUAAAAAUUAUUUACGCAAUGUUCUAAAAAUAUUAUUUUAUAAGAAAAUAGAAUAUUUUGCUUAAUAUUUCUUUUAUUUUCUUAUUAUAUCCAAAUAAUCAUAAUUUCGUUUUAAAUGAAGAUUUUAGACUUUUAAACUCAUUUUGAUUAUGAACUAUGUAUUUUGUACUUGUAAAUUACAUUUUUUACCGGUUUCAAAAUUUUUGAGAAAAAUGACCAAAAUACCCUUAUGGGACAAAAAUUAUUAUUUUAUGUGUUUUAAGUUGGAAAUAGCUUAAAAUCUCUUAGAACGUGAUAUUUGGCAACGGUUACUCACAGGGGAAAUGAGAAGCUGAUAUUAAAGUCUUGUGGGAUUCCAAUUGACAUUCCGGGUAACGAAUGUCGAUCAGGACGUCACGGCGGUUGUCACGGGCUAGAUGGGAGUUUCGGGUCAUGACAAUUAGAGUGGUAUCAGAGCUUUUGAUUUUAAAGAUUAGAGCUUUUGGGUUUAAAAUUGCUUUAAAAAUUUACAGUGUCAGUGUGGCCCCAAGUCCAGUUAAGUUAAGUUAAGCCAGGUUAGGUUGAAUAAAAUGUAUGUGUCUGCAUAUAGAGCCUAAGGUUGCCUAAACUUGCUUGUUUCCUCUUAUAGAUCUUAUGGGAGCUAUAGGAAUUCCUGUUCCCAAUAAUCCACUUCCUUGUUAAGGUCAUGCAAAGGUCAUAAGUAGGGUCGUUGUCUAGGUUUAAGAUGCCACCCGUGACAUGAGCCAGUGUUAGAGAGAUCUUAAAACGAAUGCUCCUAAUGAAAGAUUAAUGAAAUGAUAUAACCCUCCGAUUAAGGAUGGAGAAAUUUAGAAUUGGACUAAUAGACCGUGAUAAUUUAUUCAUUUGGUGGAGUUAUAAUUGAACACAUGGUUGUCAAUUGGAAAAAGAUUUGAGAACUAUGGAUUGUAUUGGGGUUAAUAUAAAGAAGCACGUGUAAUAAUGGUAAUAAGGGGCACAAUUUGGUUAGAAUGAAUAGUGAUGGUUGUAAUUCACUUGGAGUGUAUAAAUUAAGUAUUGAGGUAAGAGUAAGCCUAUACUUAUGUGCAUGAAGAUAAGAACACUAUAUUAAUUGAGCUUGUUAUGCCAAUAUAUAAGUGGUGUUGAGAUUUUGAAAUAUUUUAUAGGUGAAUAUGUGUUGAAUAGGUACAGCAGCUUAGAGGGAACUGAUGUUGAUUUCAAUUAAGCGAUUGCGAGAUUUCAAGAAUUAAUUAGACCUAUUAUAGUUCAUGGAUAUAAGCAGGUGAAUUAACUCGAGAAUGAGUAUCAAUGAUUACUAUAAUUGAUGUGUGGUCAUGAAGUAAGAUGUUAGUAAACAAAUCUGCUCUAAGGAUGAGCUUGAACUUUGUUAUGCAUAGCAAAAGGGGGAGCUAAGGGAUUAAAGAACUAGAUGUGGAAUUGGCAGCUUGAGGUUAAAUGACUUGGAAAUGUCAAAUCCAGUCUAAGUGCCAUAUGAAGUUCUAUAAUUGAGAUUAAUAUACGAAUUACUUGAAAGAUCAAUUUAAAAGUUUAUUCGAUUCAAAGUGUGGCCUAUGAUACGAAUGAUCAGUCUUGAAGGUGAUCUCCCCAAAGUAAGGAAUUUAGAAAAUGCUGAUGUUUGGAUAUACUUUAAGAGAGAGAACUUCUACAUCCUAAGUUUAGGACAACUUUGAUUUUAUGAUCGCAAAGGCAAGGUGAAAUAACUAAGUAAAUUAUUUACUUAAUAAAUGUGAUUGGUUAUUGAUGAAUAAAGUCAAUAUCUUAACAUUUAGUGGUGUACAAUUUGAUAAUUAUGUAUUUAAGAGUUAUUUGGAGACAAUUCCUUCAUCAAAUUUGCACUAAAUGCUAUGGUAAAGGCAUAUCAAUGUUAAUAUGAAAAUGUAUCUAGGAAUGAUCUUAACAUAUCACCAAAGGAGAAUUAAACAUGUUGAAAUUAAUGUUCUAAUAGUGUGCAUAUGAUUGAAAGCUAGUUUGUAAGUUGUAGUUUUCAUGAUUAUGAAAUAUAUAAAGAUUAUCAAUAUAUGGGCAUACACUUGGAGUUAUAAUUUACAAGUUUGGAGUAUUUAAGAUAUGAUUAAAUGGAAUUAGCAUUAGUUAAGGUACGUAAAUCUUUUAAUUAAUUUCUGUGGAGUAUGCAUGAUAGUAAAAUGGAGGAACAUAGUGUCGUGAUACUAUAUGGUGAAGUUACUAUACAAUAUGGAAAGAGUAUUCUAAAGUGGGAUUUAUUGAUUGUUGACAAGUGUUAUAGGAUGAGAUGAAUUUGAAAAUAUUGACUUUACCUAUUAUAUGUGAUGAGCACAAGAGGAUAUAAAUGGUUAUGAAACACAUGAUAUAUGUCUAGAAGGGAAAGCCACUGCUUGAGAAUGAUUGAUGUGGUGACUUUGAAUGUAGACAAAUAGCUUUGAUGAGGAUUUUUCUAAUAGUUACAGCGCCGCAGCACUGACUGUCCAACGCUGUAAUGCUCUGAAUACCUCAUGCCUAUGAUGCAUGAGUAUGAUGGAAGUGGCACAAUAAUAAACUUACAAAUUGAAUUUUGGCUAUUGGUCAUUGAGCUUUAUUAUUUGGGAGUUUUAAAAAUUCUGGAGAAUGUUUACCUAAAUAAAUUAAAAAGCUUCUUUAUUGCCUCAUGUGUGAGCAUAUAAUAAAAAAAAAUUCUUGAGAUGGCUACCAUGAGAUAAGAUACCAAGAGAUGAAAGUAUGAAUGAAGAAUUACGAGACCGAUAUAGAAAACCAGUUUAUAUAGAGUAUCAUUAUGAGAACUUGCAAUUUCUAUCUUGAUUCAGUUAAAUGACAAGGGUUAGUAACAACAUGAGGCCAAUUGUGUGGCACCCUAGAAACCUAUGAAGAUGAGUUAGGGAUUGAAUGGAUGAGUACGUAUUUAUAUACCUUUAAGAUUAAGUGUUUUAAGAAUACAUAAACAUCUUUGAGAAGAAAUUUCUAGUCAUACAUGGCAAGUACGAAAUGUGAUAUUUUUAAAACUUGUUGAGGAGCCUAACGGCUAAGUCACAAGUUAAGUGAUCAUAUGCUGUGAGACAUAAGUUUAAGGUAGAUAUUCCCAAGGAAAUACUCAAGAAGAGUUUUGCUACGGAUUUUGUGGAAGCUAGCAUUAAGUUAUGUGGCUGUAAAAAGGAAGCUUUAAGUUGGAAGUGAAAUUCAUAUUGACAUUGAAAAGUACGUAGAAGGACUUUAUUUCAAGUCUUACAAUUUUAAGUACAAACUGCAGAUUGGUCUAGGGAGAAUGAUAUCACAUUAUUAUGGAAGAACAGAACAAAGGAUGAAUGAAGAUAAUUUGGAUAAUGAAGCUUGAUAAUGAAAAUUUCCUAAGGUAGUAUGGAAACUGGAAUUUGAAAAUGCAUAAGGCAUGCAUGAUUAGAAACAGUCUUAGUUUUUAAGUGACAUUUAGUAGGUGAGAUGUGAUUAAUGACAUUGUGAUGUGAGGACAUAGCAUGAUAAAACUCAAGCAUAUGGUUGGAAAUGAUAUAAAUGAUAUGAAGUUAUACGCAAGUAUAAUAAGAAGGUUGACAUGCACUAUAAGAAUUAUUAUAUUGAAACUAAGAUUGGGAUGUGGAUGAAUAAAGGGGAAUGUAGUCCAAGGCAUGUGAACACAUGGAUCCCUAUACAUAAUGAGAGAUGUUGACAUUUGAAAAUGCAUGUACAUAUGUAUAUAUGAAAUUGAUAAUUUGACUAACUAAGGUGAAGAAUGGUUCUCAGUAAUUGGGAGAUUUUGAAAUAAUGUCUAGAGAGGUCAGUGAGCUAAAGUGUUAACGGGCAUGCAAUGAACGAUUAAAGUUAUGAGUAACUUUGAAGGUAAGCCUUGGAUUGUUUAAGUUCUUAAUGGAACUCUGUUAAAGGAAGGGUAUGGACCAAUAUAAGAUGAAUGAAUCAAGGUUGAGAAAUUUGGCGUGGAGCAAAUUAAUAAAAUGAUAAUUAGGUAUACAUAAGUAAGUAUAAUAGGUAAUCAAAAUCGGUAUAAUUGAGAUGAAGUUAUGGUUCAAAUUUAAUAAGGGUAAUAAAGGCAUGCUUGGUGACUCAAUAUAAGAAAUCAUGAUUGUGAAAAGUACUGCUGAUCUGGCUUCAAAGGAUGAUAAUUGCCAUAAAUAAAGCAUUUAACUGAACUGAAGGAGAACGAGGUAAAUAAAUUGAAUGUCCCUAUAGAAGGAAAAAGGAAUAGGAUCAUAGAAGGAGAUUGAUAACGUAACAUUGACGUGAAUUCGAGGACGAAUUCUAUUUAAGUGGGGGAGAUUGAAAUGCCCCAUACUUUGAUAUGGUGAUAAAUAAAGUUGGUCAGAUAUGAAUUGAGGCAUAAUAAGGUAUUUUGGGAACUAAGGAGAUAAGAUAAAAUUUUUGAAAUAAAAUAAUAUCUUAUUAAUAAAAUAAUAGUAAAAUAUUAAUAUUUAACCGAAUGUCGAAAUCAGUCAUGAAAAAAGAUCAUAUGGUUGAUCCGAGUAGGGGAGAAGAUGUCAAGCCUGACUCUAUAAAAUACUUGUCAUGACAUAUAUGUGAUGGGUAGCAUGUUUGCAUGCUAGGAGAGUCUUGAAAAAUUUACAAAAGUCAAUAUUGUACCCAGAGGUACAACAAAGUUGAUUUAAACCUCGAACUAGAUCAAACAUAGAUUUUAGGGUGAAAUUAAGAGUUUCACAGUUCAGGGAUAACUCAAAAUGGUAAUUCGGACUUCAAGGAUCAAUUUGGAGUCAAACCGAAAUUUUCACUAUCUAGGGCCAAAAUGGUCAUUUGCCACCUGAGGACAAAAUGGAAAUUUUUACAAAAGAUUUUUUUGGCCCCAUUUGACUUAUUGGACUAUGAUUUGAGGCUUAUAAGUGAAAAUUUUUAAUUUCGGUAAUUUUCAUAGCAUAUGGGUAAAAUUGUAAUUUUACCACCCUAAAGGCAAAACAGUAAUUUUCCACCACCAGAACACUUGUCCAGCAUAUGGAUUUUAUCCAAUUUUAUCAUUGAUAAUUGAAGGAAUUUAUAUGGUGGAGAGAGAAAGCUUAAUAGUUAAGAAAUAAAAAUAGACCAAUGAAAUGGUGACACAUGGCAUAUUUAUAACCAUUAAAUAUUUAGCUUUAAAAUUAAUACAAAAUCAGCCCAUUUCUCAUUCAUAUGGCCGGCCAAAGAAGAACAAAGGAGGAAAGGAAAAAAAACAAGAACCCUAUGCGGGAAAAUUGAAGAAAAGUGUGGGAUUUCAAGGGAUUAAGCUAAUAAAGGUAAAAUUUCUUGAUUUUGACUUGUGAUUUACACUACCAUGCUUUCUUGUUCAUUUUCCAUACUUAGAUUUCAUGUUUUUAUGGUGAAUUCAUGGCUGGUUGGAAUGGGUAUGGAGAGAGAAUGAAGUUGGAUUGAUUUGAUUCUAAGUUAUGUUAGUGUUUUUAGUUAGUUUAUCAUGUCUAGAAACAAACCAACAAGAAAAAUUUAUUUUCUCCCAUUACCCAUCAUUGGUCGAAUUUUCUAGGGAGGAUAUUGCGGNGUGUUUUUAGUUAGUUUAUCAUGUCUAGGAACAAACCAACAAGAAAAAUUUAUUUUCUCCCAUUACCCAUCAUUGGUCGAAUUUUCUAGGGAGGAUAUUGCGGUUGAAAUUGAUGAUAUUUUAUGAUAUUUUGGUGAUAUUUGAUGUUUGGUGAGGCUAGAAAUUAAAUGAGAAAUUUUGGUGUGAAAAUCUAAAUUUUUGCUCAACGUAUAGACAUGUGUGAUUAUUGACCCGAAACUGAUAAAUUGAAUCUCAUUCACAGUCACUGAGGUAAUUUAGGUAUAAUUGGAGUGUAAAAAGUGAGAAGAAUUGAUUUAGAGUUAAAUUGAAGAUUUUAGCUGAUUAGACCGAGUAUAGUGUGACUUAAGUCGAAUAUCACAUGUAAGCAAUUAAUCGGACAUUUUGCAUUCCAUAUCAUGCAUUAGUAGUCUAAAUUAGUUUAAUUUUGAUUUAGUACCAAUGUAAUAAGUUUCUCGAUUUUGUAUUGUGUCAAGGUGGUGAGUUCUCUGACAAGGGUAAGGAAAUUGUACCCGAUGAUCGAUAAUCGGAGUACUUUAGAAAUUAGACUCCUGAAAUAGUGAGUAACCUUACCAUCAAUUUAAUUAUCUAAAGUAUGUUUUUAAUCGGUUUUGGUGAAAUUUUAUGAAAAUGAGUUUAAAUGGUAAAUCUUUGUGUUUUACAAACAAAAUGUGUUUACAUGAAAAGAUUUUAUAAAUUGUCUUGAAAUUGAAUAAUGAUUUUGAAAAAUAGAGUAAUUGGAGACCACUUGUUAUGUUGUAAAAUUUAUAAUUUGAAUCGAAUGGCUUAUGACAAUAUUUGCAUGAAUGGCUGAAUUGAUAUUUAUGUUGAAAUAUAUGAAAUGUGCAUUUAGCCUUGGAAGGCUGUGAAUUACAAUAAUUGCCAUAUCAUGUUAUUAAAUUUUAUUGAUUGGUGAAAAAAUUAUUAGCUUACUACAGAAGGCGGGUUUUCGUGGACUAGCCUAUUAGAGGGGCACGGUAAACCCCAUUAUAUUUUACCUCAGUUGGAGAAGCAAGUAAGGUAACUUCCGAGGUAUAACUUUUAGAGUUCACUUUACGCCAAACCACCACAUGAGGUGGAACUUGGCCAACGCCAAGGAACGGCUAUAUUUUUAAAAUAAAAACAUGUUUAUGUGUACGUAACUUUUUAAUAGCCUUGGUGGACUCGAUUUGGGAUAGCCUUCGGCCAAGGUAUCCCUGAUAACUGAGUAUGAGAAUAAUUUUUGGUAUGAGCCAAGCUUUUAAGAAAUUCAUAAGCCAUAUUGAUUACUUGAUUUAAAUAAAUUGAUUUCAUUUGGUUGAAAUAAGUUGAAAGAUGAUAAAUUACAGUUUGAUGAAAUGUUUUAAUAGUCUCCUUUUACUCGACUUUAGAUAUUUUGAAUGAUGUUUGUUUACUCACUGGGAUUUCAUAAUCUCACCACCCUCCUUUCCACCCAUUUCAAGCUCAGAAUAGAUUGUAGAUAACUGAUAUCGGUGAUGACUACAAUUGGACUUGCCACAUCCAAAAACAGUAAGUUCAUUUCUUUUGAUACUUUUAGUCAUUCGCGAGCUCAUGCGUCGCUGUAAAUUAAAUUUUAUACUUUGGUUAUCUGUAUUAUAGUAUGAAUGAAUCUAUUUUGCUUUUACGCUGUAAAAAUUAUUUACGCAGUGUUCUAAAAAUAUUGUUUUAUAAGAAAAUAGAAUAUUUUGCUUAAUAUUUCUUUUAUUUUCUUAUUAUAUCCAAAUAAUCAUAAUUUCGUUUUAAAUGAAGACUUUAGACUUUUAAACUCAUUUUGAGUAUGAACUAUGUGUUUUGUACUUGUAAAUUACAAUUUUUGCCAGUUUCGAAAUAUUUGAGAAAAAUGACCAAUAUAUCCCUGUGGGACGAAAAUUAUUAUUUUAUUUAUUUUAAGUUGAAAAUAGCUUAAAAUCUCUUAAAACGUGAUAUUUGGCAACGGUUACUCACAGGGGAAAUGAGAAGCUGAUAUUAAAGCCUUGCGAGAUUUCGGUUGACAUUCCGGGUAAUGAAUGUCGAUCGGGACGUCGCAGCGGUUGUCACAGGCUCCAUGGGAUUUCCGGGUCGUGACAAGUGAAAUCCGUAAAAGUUGUAUGCAAAAGGAUUUUUAACAACACAAGUUAAAGAAAAAAGUUCAAAGGAAGAUUUGAUUUCAAUUGCAACCACAGAAAUAAUUAACAAAGCAAUGAAGAUAACAUUAUCCUAACUCUUAUUUAAUCUUUCUUGUUAAACUUUUUUAUAUUUUACUAAUCUUUGAGCAAAAAUUAUAUAUCAAUCACUGAAUUAAAUAUUUAAAUGCAUGAUAUAAAUUUUUGUUACAUUAGCAAAAUUUUAAAAUUUAAAUAUUAGUAUAAAAUUAUUAUAAAAAGUAAUUAUUAUUAAAUGCUUAAUUUUAUUACUAAAUUGUUAAAAGAGAGUUGAGGUUUGAGGAUGGAAGCUACUUUUUUAGCCACUUAGCCUUUUCUAUAUGUAACAAAAGAAGAUGUAAAAUAUGGACUCAAAUGUGUUUCUUGUGAGGCCAUCUUGUUUUUUAUGGUACUGUUGGAUCAUAUUAACCUCAAAGCUUUUGUACAGUUUUAAUUGAUGAGUUAAAUGUUAAAUAUAUUCACAUGUACAUGUAUAUACACAUACAUGAAUAAUGAAUAGUAAUGAAAACUAAAUAUAAGCAAAUAUCAACUAUUAUUUGAUAAUAAUAGUGUAUCUUUCUUAAAUAAUCCACUAAAUAAAUAAUUUCUAUAAGAAUCACGAUACUAACCUGUAGUUAUAGCAAAUGUCAAGUUUCUUUCUUUACAAGCUCAUCUUUAGAGUUCUUUAGACUUUUUUUAAUGAGUUCUUCCAACCCAAAUGGUAAUUUUACAAUGAUGGUAAUAUGGUAUUUAUUUUAAAAAAAAAUUACCUUCAGUGGGGACCUAUAUGUUUAUUUAAUAAAUAGAAUCUCUUUCAUCAAGAAGAUGCCACUAUAUCAAAAUUAAAAAAUUUCAAAAAUAAUGAAUAAUUAUCAUAAUUUUAUUUCAAUAAUAAAUAACUAUCACAAUUUCAUUAAAACUGUAUCACUUAUUAUGAAAAUUAAAUAUUAAAACCAUUCAAAAUUGAAAAUUCCAAUUUAGUUGUCAAUUUGAACACAAAUUUUCUUCUUUCUUGUUUGAGUGGUCCUACUCAUCCUACCUGUAUUCAAAAGUAAGAAGAAAAACAUUUAAAGACCUUGUGACAUUUUGGUAUCAAUUGCUGACACUUUGACAUUAGUUGACUGAGUUUUCAGCCACAAAUUGAUUGGCUGCACAGUGAUCAGAUAAGUGACCUUCCCAGCUUCUUCACUUGCCUGAUUUGAAGUUAAAACUAUAGCCACUCAGCCUUCUUCUUCUCACCAAAUUUCAAGAUAUGCUAGAGCAAACCUUCCACUAUUCGGCCUCCUGGCCCUUGCUUUAUCAAAUUUCCCUAAUUUUUGCAUUGCUAGAGGCAAGCACUACGACUCUUCUUUCUGUGGAAACAUUAACAUCAGUUAUCCUUUUCGAUUAGAAACCCAGCCUCGUAGUUGUGGUUAUAAUAGGUUUGAACUAGUGUGCUAGAAUAACCGCACCAUUUUCCCCAUGAAAAAUGGGAAUUUCUAUGUCCAACACAUCUCUUAUAGUGACGAAAUCACUCAACUUUUAGAUGUGAGUCUUGGCAAUGAUAACUACUCCAUUCCUCAUAGAUCUUAUCCUUGGUACACCCUUUUUAGGAAAGAACUGUUGAAAGGUAAUUCAUAAUCUGACAACAGCAGCAUGUGAAGAACAAGUGAAGAGCUUCAACUUAUAGUGCAAAACGAUGGCGUUUCUUCAUCAGAAGUUCUAAGUUUUCAAAGUGUGCCAUUUUACUUCUUUUAUGUUUUAAGUUUGUAGUACUCAAAACGAUGUUGCUCAUAACGUUUUUAGCUCUGCUUAGUUAAAUCCUAUACGCUUCAUUAUAGUGUCGUUUUUGAGUCUAUUUUAAGGCUUAACAACCAUGGCUUUCUGUUUCAACUUUUUACUGUUGGUGGUCAUUAGUUUGUCUGUAGUUUGUUGCUGUGAUCCAAUUUAUCAAGAAAUGUUUUUGAAUUGUUAGAGUAUAUAUACAAGAAAUGAAAUAAAAUGAUUAGCUUCUUCUAGUAAGAAAUUUUCUAUUCAUAUUCUCUGUUUUUAAGCUUUGUUUUUUCGUUGCUUAGCUUUGCAACUUAGCUUUUAAUUUUCUUUAAUUGGUAUCAGAGCUAUCAGUGAUCUUAAGGGCCUAGGAUUUGAUCAGUUUGUGUAAAUAUGACCUCUGGAUUCAAUGCAUCAGCUCCACCAAAGUUCACCGGAGAGAACUAUUCAUUCUCGAGUGUGAAAAUGGAGGUUUAUCUCAGAACCUUCAUGUUGUGGGAAGCAAUGGAGACUGAUGAGGAACCAGUGCAAAGGAGAGUUAAUCCGACGAUAGCUCAGAUCAGGCAAUUUGAGGAAGACAAAGCUAAAAGGUACAAAGCUCUGUCUUGCCUUCACUCAGCUUUAUCUGAUGAAAUUUUUGCUCGGGUUAUGCAUUUGAAAUCUCCUAAGCAAGUUUGGGAUUAUUUGAGAGAAGAGUUUUUUGGGAGUGAAUGAACUAGGCAGAUUCAAGCAUUUAAUCUUACUCAGAAAUUUGAAAUGUUAAGAAUGGAGGACAAUGAAAACAUAAGGGAUUUUUCUGGGAAGAUAAUGGGAUUAGUGAACCAAUUGAGGCUACUAGGGAAAGCGGUUACAGAAGAGAGACUGGUAAGCAAAAUGUUAGUGAGUUUACUUGAGAAAUAUGAGACUAAGGUGUCCUCAUUAGAAGAUUCCAAGGAUCUAGCUCAGAUUACUUUUAAGGAGUUAGUUAAUGCUUUGAAAGGUCUAGAACAAAGAAGGGCUUUUAGACAAAAGAGUGCAUCAGAUUUUGCCUUAGUAGCUAAAGCUAAAAAUGUGAAAAUGAGAGGUAAUGGCUCGAAGAACAGUUUAAUUGAUAAGAAAAACAAAGGAAGGAAGAGUGAAGAUACUCAACAGGAGGAUCAGAAGAAGGAAUUUCCACCAUGCAAGCAUUGUAAGAAGACUAGUCAUACUGAAAAAUACUGCUGGUUUAGGCCCAAUGUUAAAUGCAGGGCUUGCAAUCAACAGGAUCAUGUGGAAAAGGUAUGUAAAAAUUAGGCGAAAGCACCUGAGAAAGCUGCUGUUGUAGAGCAUGCAAAUGAAGAUGUUGAUGAAGUUCUUUUUACGGCUACAAUUGAUGAAAAUUCAAGCAAUGUAACAGCUGGUGAGAAUUCAAGGAGAUCUAAUGUUUGGCUUUUAGACAGUGCUUGCUCCCAUCACUGGACAGGUAAUAAAUCUCUUUUCUCUACCCUUGACACAAGCUUUAAGUCAAAGGUUAAGAUAGGAGAUGGAAAUUAUCUGAAUAUUUUAAGAGUAGGAACUGUUGACAUUGAAACUGCUUCAGGCAAAACAAGUAUCUCUAGUGUGCACUAUGUUCCUACUGUUGAUUAUUAUCUGUUGAGUGUGGGACAACUAGCUAAAGAGCAUUACAGUAUUUUGUUUAAGGGUGAUAGUUGUAUAGUUUUUAAUUCUCAGGGUAAAGAAUUGAUUACAGUAUCUAUGAAAAACAAUUGCUAUCCUUUGAAUUUGGCUAAUGCUGCUCACUUAGCUUUAUAUAACGAACUGGAUGUGUUUGAAGUAUGGCAUCAAAGGAUUGGCCAUGUUAAUUACAAUACUUUGAUUCUGAUGUCUUCUAGAAACUUCGUGAAAGGAUUGCUUGUUAUUUUAAAAUCGGAUAAGAUAUGCCAAACUUGUCAGUUUGGUAAACAAACAAAAAAAUCAUUUCCUAUAGAAAGUAGAUGGAAGGCUACUAGGAAGCUGGAAUUGGUACAUACUAAUUUGAGUGGUCCCAUGAAGACUACUUCACUUAGUGGAAGCAAAUACUACAUCAUCUUUAUUGAUGAUUAUUCAAAGUUUUGCUGGAUAUUCUUCUUGAAGCAGAAGUCUGAAGCUUUGAGCUAUUUCAAGAAGUUCAAAACUACUGCUGAAAAUUUCUCAGGACAAUGUGUAAGAACCUUGAGGAUUGAUAGUGGUAAGAAGUAUACAUCUGCUGAAUUUGAGCAGUAUCUAGAGUCUUGUGGAAUACAACAUCAGUUAACUAUUCCAUAUAGUCUUCAGCAGAAUGGGAAAGUUGAAAGAAUGAAUAGAACCUUGACAGAGAUGGGGAAGUGCUUAUUGUACUAGAUGAAGAAGCUAGGGGCAUUUUGGGCAGAAGCUGUGAAUACAGCUAACUAUCUUUUAAACAGAGUUUCCCAUAUGAAAUGUGGUUUGAUCAUAAACCAGAUGUUUCCCAUUUAAAAAUAUUUGGCUUCAUUUGCUAUGAUAAGGUACCAAAUGUUAAGAGGACUAAGUUUGAUCCAAAAUCUGUGGCAGCAGUUCUGGUUGGCUACAGUGAAGUCUCUAAAGGCUACAGAUUGUUUGAUCCUAAACUGAAGAAGAUUUUUGUAAGUAAAGAUGUGGUAUUUGAUGAGGGGCAAAGUUGAAACUGGCCUAAUAGUGGUGCUGGACAGGUUGAUUUUACCAAAACAGCUGAUGUAGAGGCUCAACAAACUGUAGCUGAUGAUGAUUCUGAUCUGGAGGAUGAAAGUAAAGCAGUUAGAGGUACAAUAAGCUUAGCUGACAUUUAUAAUAGAUGCAAUGUUACAGUAACUGAACCAGCAACUUUCAAGCAAGCUCAGCUUGAUGACAAUUGGAAAUUAGCUAUGGAUGCUGAAAUGGAGAUGAUAUCUAAGAAUGGGAUAUGGAUUCUUAUUGACAAACCAGUUGACAAAAACAUCAUAAGAGUGAAGUGGAUUUACAGAGCCAAAUUUAAUCCAGAUGGUUUUGUAAAUAAGUACAAGGCUCGGUUGGUGGUCAAAGGAUAUGCUUAAGUUUAUGGGGUUGACUACAUGGAAACAUAUGCUCUAGUAGCCAAACAUGACACUAUAAGGAUGCUUGCUGCUUUGUCAUCCAGGGAGGCAUGGACAAUUUAUCAUUUGGAUGUCAAAUCAGCUUUCUUUAAUGGCAUUCUUACUGAAGACAUUUAUAUUGAGCAACCUGAAGGUUAUGUGCAGCAGGGGUCUAAGAUGAAGGUAUGCAAGCUUAUCAAGGCAUUGCAUGGCUUGAAAUAGGCUCCAAGAGCCUGGUACACCAGAAUUGAUAAAUACUUCAAGAAUUAGGGGUUUAUGAGGAGCAUAAAUGAAUCCACUUUGUAUGUGAAGCAUGAGCAUAAUACUGUGGAACUUAUAGUAGCAUUAUAUGUGGAUGAUCUUCUGGUUACUGGACCAGAAAGCAAGUAUGUGUCUGAAUUUAAAUCUCGGAUGAAGGAAGAAUUUAAGAUGACUGACUUGGGAAUUAUGACUUAUUUUCUUGGCAUGGAAGUGGUGCAAGCUACUGGUAAAGUCAUACUGCAUCAAGGUAAAUAUGCUCAGGAUUUAUUAAAGAAGUUUAAUAUGAGUAUGUGCAAGGUAGUCAAUACUCCAUUGUGCAUUGGUGCUAAAUUUAGUGUAGCAGAUGGUGCUGAGAUGGCUAAUGGACAUUUAUAUAGAAGCAUUAUUGGUUCUUUACUCUAUUUGGCAGCUACCAGGCCAAGUAUAAUGUUUGCAACAAGCUUGCUGUCAAGGUUCAUGCAAAAUCCUUCAGAAGUACACCUUGCUGUAGCUAAAAGAAUUCUAAGAUAUGUUAGAGGGACUGUGAAUUAUGGACUAGUGUACAUGAAACAGGAAAGUAGUCAACUGAUAGGUUUUUUUUAUAGUGACUAGACAGGUUCAUUGGAUGAUUCUAAGAGCACAGGAGGUUUUUGUUUCUCAUUUGGAAGUGUUGUGUUUGCUUGGAGUUCCAAGAAACAGCCACUAGUAGCUCAGUCAACAGUAGAAGCAGAGUACAUAGCAUGUGCAGCUGCUACCAAUCAUGCUUUAUGGUUGAGGAAGCUAUUAGAUGAGUUUGGGUUUAAGCAGGAGAAAGGAACAUUGAUUAAUUUUGACAACUUGUCAGCAAUUGCCAUAUCGAAGAAUCCUGUUCAACAUGGGAGAACUAAGCACAUUAGAGUUAAGUACCAUGCUCUUAGAGAAGCUGUAAAAGAGGAAGAGAUUGAAUUGAUUCAUUGCUCAACAAGUGAUCAGCUUGCUUAUAUAUUUACUAAGAGUUUGGGAAGAGAAAGAUUUGAAUGUUUGAGACAAUGUCUUGGUGUUCAUCAGAUUAUGAAUUAAGGGGUUGUGUUGAAAGGUAAUUCAUAAUCUGAUAGUAGCAGCAUGUGAAGAACAAGUGAAGAGCUUCAGCUUAUAGUGCAAAACGAUGGCGUUUCUUCAUCAGAAGUUCUAAGUUUUCAAAGUGUGUCGUUUUACUUCUUUUAUGUUUUAAGUUUGUAGUACUCAAAAUGAUGUUGCUCAUCUCGUUUUUAGCUCUGCUUAGUUAAGUCCUAUACGCUUCAUUAUAGUGUCGUUUUUGAGUCUGUUUUAAGGCUUAACAGCCAUGGCUUUCUAUUUCAAUUUUUUAGUGUUGGUGGUCAUUGGUUUGUGUGUAGUUUGUUGUUGUGAUCCGAUUUAUCAGGAAAUGUUUUUGAAUUGUUAAAGUAUAUAUACAGGAAAUAAAAUGAAAUGAAUAGCUUCUUCCAGUAAGAAAUUUUCUGUUCAUAUUCUCUGUUUUUAAGCUUUGUUUUUUUGUUGCUUGGCUUUAUAGCUUAGCUUUUAAUUUUCUUCAAGAACUAUAUCUCUAUCGAACUACCACUGAAUACAGCAUCAUGUAUCUCGUAAAUUGCACGAUGCAGAUCAACUGCUCUUCCGUUUAUAUCGAUGCUUUUCGUUGUACCAAUACCCUUUCCUCUGGACCUCCUUACUUUUACUUUUUGGAUGAAAAUAUAGCAAAGUCUGAUUUCCAUGAGUCAUGCAGAAUUGAAGCCAGGUUCCAAUCAUGGUUGCCAAUAUCACUGGCCUCUCUACUUUUGAUAUUUACACAAAGUUGUUAACGGGAUUCCAACUCUCAUGGUCAACUUUCUAUUAUGAGGGGUCAAGGUGAGACUCAAUUGUUAACGUGUCAGGAUUUUUAAGAAUUCCUAAAUAUUUGGUGCAUUUUGGUUUUAGAAAAGUAUUUAUUACGGAUUCAACGGUUUUGACGUGCUUUCUUGAAUAUUAAUUAUAGAUUGCUAUUGUUGCGUCUGCGGGUUAUAUCUAUUCUAAACAUCAUGGUUGAAACAGAUAAUUUCCUUGCACCUUAUAAAGGUAUUCUUUCUUUUGUUGAGUUCAAUAAUAAUUUGAUUAUUAUUGGAUUGCCUUUAAUUUCCUAUAGAGUAGCUAUUAACACUUAAUUUUCCAAUUGGUAAUAUCUUACCAGGAAUCCAAAUUUUUUGUCAUGCAAUUACAGGUACUAAAUUCUACACUUUUAUUUACUCUUCAAUUCUAGAAUUAUUUUUUUUAAAAGGCUAAAUUCUAGAAUUAUUAUGUAGUAGGAAUCUAAUUAAGAUUUAGCUUUACAUUUAUAUUUUCAACCCAUAGGAAGUGACUAUCGCAUUGACUUGAAACUUUACAUGCAUGAUGAGUAUAAGUAAAUUGUUAAAUUUAAUGGUUGGUUUAUUAAAAUAUUAAUAGUAUAUGAAAUUAUAAAAAAAUUGUAAAAAUUAAUUAAUUUUAUAGUGGUGUAUGAGUACCGCAUACAUGUAUACGUGCGUCUCCAAGAGACCACAUAAAAGAAGAUCCAUCAUAAAUGAUUCAUAAAUAAUUUUGAACUACAUUAAUUGGGUUUUUUUUAAUUAGGUAUUUUUAUGAUAUUGUGAUGUUUCUUGGUCAAAAUAAAACUUACAUGGAAUAAGGUCUAAAUUUACCAUUCUAUUUUGAGUAAUGGAUCACACUUAUCACCAUCUUUGAACGAGUGUAAUUUUGCCGCUACACUUUUAAAUUAGUUAAAAAUAUGAUCAAAAGUUAAAACUAGUGUUAAUUUUUGACCAUUUUUGAAGUAAAUUAAAAUGUAUAAUGGUAAAAAUUGCACUUGUUUAAAAAUAAAAUAAUAAAUUUGAUCCAUCACCUUAAAUAAACUAGCGUGUGUAAAUUUAAAUUUUAUCCCAAAUUAUGCUAUGAAUUUUGUUGGUGAAAAUAUGGCAGCACAUACCCAAGUUAAAUUAGUAAAUGACAUAUGUAUAACAUAUAAUCAUGUUGUCCAACUAAUUAAUUUAUAUAUUGUUAUGUAAUUUUUUUUUUGUGAAACAGGAAUUAUAGGAAUUAUAUUGCUAAGAACACUUUUCACGAUAAUUUGCUUGAUUAUAUUGGUUAUACGCAAAUUAAAAAGGAGGCAUUUAUCAAUGGAUGACAUGAUUGAGAAUUUUCUUCAGAGUCAAAAUAAUUUAAUGCCUAUAAGAUAUUCUUAUUUUGAAAUAAAAAGAAUGACGGAAGGUUUCAAGAAUAAGCUAGGACAAGGAGGAUAUGGCUCUGUGUUUAAAGGAAAACUUAGAAGUGGUCAACUUGUUGUGAUAAAAUUGUUAAACAAAUCAAAAGCUAAUGGCCAAGAUUUCAUCAAUAAAGUUGCAACUAUUGGAAGAAUUCAUCAUGUCAAUGUCGUAAGACUCAUUGGAUUUUGUGUGAAGGGAUCAAAACAAGCUCUUGUAUAUGACUUCAUGCAAAACAGGUCCUUAGUUAAAAUAAUAUUUUCGACUGAAAGUAACACUUUGAGUUAACAAAAAAUGUUUGAGAUUGCAUUGGGAGUGGCUCGAGGUAUUGAAUAUUUACAUAGAGGAUGUGAAAUGCAAAUUUUACAUUUCGAUAUCAAGCCACAUAACAUUCUCCUAUAUGAGAACUUUAUCCCAAAAGUUUCAGAUUUUGGCCUUGCAAAGUUGUAUUCAGUGGAUGACAGUAUUGUCUCUCUCACAGCUGCAAGAGGUACAUUAGUAUAUAUGGCUCUUGAAUUGUUUUAUAAAAAUAUUGGAAGCAUCUCAUAUAAAGCCGAUGUUUAUAGUUUUGGAAUGAUGUUAAUGGAAAUUGUCAGAACGAGAAAAAAUGUGAAUGUCUCUGCUGAACAUUCAAAUCAAAUUUAUUUUCCAUCAUGGAUUUAUGAUCGACUCGAAGAAGGAGAUAUCAUAGAGCUUGGAGAUGUAACAGAGAAUGAAAACAAAAUUAUGAGGAAAAUGGUAAUAGUAGCCUUUUGGUGCAUACAGAUGAAGCCCACAGAUCGUCCUUUAAUGAGCAAAGUCUUGGAGAUGCUUGAAAGUGAAGUUAAGCUCCUUGAAAUGCCUCCCAAGCCUGCUUUCUCUUGAAAUGUCAACCAAAUCAUUUAGUGUUGUAUUAUAAGUAAUAUUUAAUAUUGUAUGUUAAGCAAUGUUUCACUACUUUAUUAUAUUGCUUUUAUAAUUUUUAUAGUAGAAACCUUAAGCUUCGGGCAUAAUCUUCUCUCUUCCUAAAAAAACAAAAAAAACAAAA